rnacentral:lncRNA from 10 species
ACACCUUCCCCUGUAGCACAGAGAGAGAAAAAACAAAAACAAACAUCUUCUGUACUCUGUCUUCUGAGAAAGAAACACUUUUUUAUUCUGAGACAGGGUCUCAUGCUGUUGCCCAGGCUGCAGUGCACUGGUGUGAUCACGGCUCACUGCAGCCUCGACCUCCUGGGCUCAAAGGAUCCUCCUGCCUCAGCCUCCUCAGUACCUGGGACUACAGGCAUGCACCACCACAUGCAGCUAAUUUUUGUAUUUUCUUCGAGACAGGGUCUCGCCAUGUUGCCCAGGAGGUCAAGGCUACUGUGAGCCGUGAUCAAAACACCACACUCCAUCUAUCCUGGGUGACAAAGCAAGACCGGGUCUCCAAAAAAAAAAGAAAAAAAGAUUCCAGCAGGAAAGGGAACUGUCACCCAAAGGCGAAGGGUCUGCGGUCUGACCAAAGCGUCUUCCCGGAGCCUUCAGUGCUCUGUUCAGGGGGAGCCGGACGGAGCCAGGCAGUGCCUGCGACUCCAGAGAGCAGCGCUUCUGACUCGGGAAAGGCUGCUGCCAAGGGUGGAUUUUUUUACCAUAUGCAAGGAUGAAGAUGCUGGGUUUUUUUCUGUGGUUUUUGUUUGUUUUUUGUUUUUUGUGAGAGUCUCACUCUGUUGCCCAGGAUGGAGUACAAUGGUGCGAUCUCGGCUCACUGCAACCUCCGCCUCCUAGGUUCAAGCGAUUCUCCUGCCUCAGCCUCCCGAGUAGCUGGGAUUACAGGCAUGCGCCAGUAUGCUUGGCUAAUUUUUGCAUUUUUACUAGAGACAGGGUCUUACCAUGUUGGCCAGGCUGGUCUCGAACUCCUAACCUCAAAUGUCCUCCCACCUUGGCCUCCCCAUGAGCCACCGUGCCC